UACGUAGGGUGCAAGCGUUGUCCGGAAUUAUUGGGCGUAAAGAGCUCGUAGGCGGUCUGUUGCGUCGGCUGUGAAAACCCGGGGCUUAACCCUGGGCUUGCAGUGGAUACGGGCAGACUAGAGGCAGGUAGGGGAGAAUGGAAUUCCCGGUGUAGCGGUGAAAUGCGCAGAUAUCGGGAGGAACACCGGUGGCGAAGGCGGUUCUCUGGGCCUGACCUGACGCUGAGGAGCGAAAGCGUGGGGAGCGAACAGG
rnacentral:rRNA from 1 species